rnacentral:rRNA from 1 species
UACGUAGGAGGCAAACGUUGCUCGGAUUUACUGGGCGUAAAGGGUGAGUAGGCGGAACUAUAAGUCUAAGGUGAAAUAUCGAAGCUCAACUUCGGAAACGCCUCGGAUACUGUGGUUCUUGGAUAUUGUAGGGGAUGAUGGAAUUCUCGGUGUAGCGGUGGAAUGUAUAGAUAUCGAGAAGAACACCUAUAGCGAAGGCAGUCAUCUGGGCAUUUAUCGACGCUGAAUCACGAAAGCUGGGGGAGCAAAC